ACAUUGGAACUGAGACACGGUCCAAACUCCUACGGGAGGCAGCAGUGGGGAAUAUUGCACAAUGGGCGAAAGCCUGAUGCAGCAACGCCGCGUGAGUGAUGAAGGCCUUCGGGUCGUAAAACUCUGUCCUCAAGGAAGAUAAUGACGGUACUUGAGGAGGAAGCCCCGGCUAACUACGUGCCAGCAGCCGCGGUAAUACGUAGGGGGCUAGCGUUAUCCGGAUUUACUGGG
rnacentral:rRNA from 1 species